GGUUUAAUUACCCAAGUUUGAGGUAAUCAAGUACAAG
rnacentral:snRNA from 16 species